rnacentral:rRNA from 1 species
AUUGAACGCUGGCGGCAGGCCUAACACAUGCAAGUCGAGCGGAUGAAGGGAGCUUGCUCCUGGAUUCAGCGGCGGACGGGUGAGUAAUGCCUAGGAAUCUGCCCGGUAGUGGGGGAUAACGUCCGGAAACGGGCGCUAAUACCGCAUACGUCCUGAGGGAGAAAGUGGGGGAUCUUCGGACCUCACGCUAUCAGAUGAGCCUAGGUCGGAUUAGCUAGUUGGUGGGUAAAGGCCUACCAAGGCGACGAUCCGUAACUGGUCUGAGAGGAUGAUCAGUCACACUGGAACUGAGACACGGUCCAGACUCCUACGGGAGGCAGCAGUGGGGAAUAUUGGACAAUGGGCGAAAGCCUGAUCCAGCCAUGCCGCGUGUGUGAAGAAGGUCUUCGGAUUGUAAAGCACUUUAAGUUGGGAGGAAGGGCAGUAAGUUAAUACCUUGCUGUUUUGACGUUACCAACAGAAUAAGCACCGGCUAACUUCGUG